rnacentral:rRNA from 1 species
UAACAGCCUACCAAGGCGACGACGGGUAGCCGGCCUGAGAGGGCGACCGGCCACACUGGGACUGAAACACAGCUUAUACUCCUACGGGAGGCAGCAGUGGGGAAUAUUGGACAAUGGGCGCAAGCCUGAUCCAGCCAUGCCGCGUGAGUGAUGAAGGCCCUAGGGUUGUAAAGCUCUUUUGUGCGGGAAGAUAAUGACGGUACCGCAAGAAUAAGCCCCGGCUUACUUCGUGCCAGCAGCCGCGGUAAUACGAAGGGGGCUAGCGUUGUUCGGAAUCACUGGGCGUAAAGCGCACGCAGGCGGAUUGAUAAGUCAGGGGUGAAAUCCCGGAGCUCAACUUCGGAAUUGCCUUUGAUACUGUCUAUCUUCUAGUUCGGGAGAGGUUGGCGGAAUUCCUAGUGUAGAGGUGAAAAUU